GGGUCGCAAGACCCCGGCGUACCGCUCAGUAACACGCGGAUAAUCUACCCCCAGGUGAGGUAUAACCUCGGGAAACUGAGGAUAAUCCCUCAUAGUUAUCAUAUGCUGGAAUGCUUUGAUGACGAAAGCCUUUACGCCUGAGGAUGAGUCUGCGGCCUAUCAGGUAGUAUGUGGUGUAAUGGACCACAUAGCCUAAGACGGAUACGGGCCUUGAAAGAGGGAGCCCGGAGAUGGACUCUGAGACACUAGUCCAGGCCCUACGGGGCGCAGCAGGCGCGAAAACUGUACAAUGCGCGAAAGCGCGAUACGGGGAGCCUGAGUGCCUUAACAUUUGUUAAGGCUUUUCACAAGCCUAAAAAGCUUGUGGAAUAAGAACUGGGUAAGACGGGUGCCAGCCGCCGCGGUAACACCCGCGGUUCGAGUGGUAGUCACUUUUAUUGAGCCUAAAGCGUUCGUAGCCGGAUUCGUAAAUCUCUAGGAAAAUCCUUCUGCCCAACGGAAGAAAUUCUGGAGAGACUGCGAAUCUAGGGACCGGGUGAGGUUGAAUGUACUUCUGGGGUAGGGGUAAAAUCCUGUAAUCCUGGAAGGACGACCGGUGGCGAAGGCGUUCAACUAGAACGGAUCCGACGGUGAGGAACGAAGGCUAGGGGAGCAAACCGGAUUAGAUACCC
rnacentral:rRNA from 1 species